rnacentral:lncRNA from 1 species
AUCCAGCCCAUUCCUGUUUAAAUCCGACCCAUCUGCGUCUUCCUCUUCUCCAUUUUUCGCGCGUAAGAAUACCUUGGAAACAGGUGAAGCAGCGACACAACAAAUUCAAAGGAAAAUCACGUGUUAUUGUGUCUUCUCUAGCGUCCCCUCUCUUCAAGUUCGUACAAUAGCAGCAGCAUGCUAAUUGUCCUACUUGCGCGAGAGCACUCCACGUUUAGGCGCUAGAAUGGGAGAAUAAUCUUAGCUGCCCGCCCCCUUCUUUUGUAUAUAGGGAUGGGUACGCAUAUUCAGAAAAUCUUUUCCUCUCCAAUUUAGUGAAAGAUAUUUGAAUUUUCGAAGUGAUGGGCCAAAGAUCCGAUCCAAUUUUCAUCCUCUUUUCCCCAAUUUCCAAAACCCUUAUUGGGCUUUAUAUAUUGUAUUUUUCUUUUCACUGUGAGGGGGAUUUUGGUUUAAUCUAAAAAUUUCCUAGAGACAAAGGUCGUGAAAAUGUUAGGAUUAGUAUAAAAAACUAGCAGCUUGAAGAGACAGAACAUAGUUAGAAAAGUUUAGGGGGUCGUAUAGAGACCAAGAACCGCGUUCCAACCAUGGUUUGCACACGCCGGUCUCUGUUUUGCCCAUUCGUGUUUGUUGUUGCUAUUUUUUGUGGUCAUGGAAGCUCUCACUCCAUCAUUCGGUCUCGUCUCAGUCUCGCUGCACCGAAAAAGGUAAAACUUCUUCCUUUUAAGCUUUCUCCUCGCUCCUCUUUCCAUCUCGAUGUGAUAUUUUUUUAUGUUGGAAAAGCUUUAUAAAUGGCCAUUUGGGUAAGGUAUUGAUGGUUUGUUUAUGUUUGAUAUGAUGUACAUGUUCGUAGUUGCUCCAUUGAAUUAGUCAUAACAUAGAGUUAAAAAAUUGUGGGAUUGUACUUAACAUUGUGGUCUUUUUGUUUGUUGAGUUUGAAUCUUCUGCAACUUUCUUUUACCGUUAAUUUGUUAUUUCUAUAAAAUGAAGCAAAAUAUUAAUUUUUUUUGUGUAAAAGUUUUUUUUCUUCUUAUUGAUUAAAGGUAGAAUGCAAUAGUUUAUAUUCCUCCAUCUGGUAGUUCUUUGUUUACAUCUUAUUUUGUUCCAAGCUUUCUGGUGCUUAGAAUUGUUUUAAAGGAUAGUCUAAAUUUCCUGUUUAAGUUGUUUGAUUCAAUGGUUUUUUUUAUACUCUUUGUUUUCUUUUAAUUUUAAGUUCAUUAAUAGAUUGUAUAAUCGAGUCUCAUAUCAUAAUUUUUUAUCUAGAUCUGAUCGUGUUUCUAUGGUCUCUUUGUAGCUCAAUUUUCUCGCUUUCCUUCCUAUUCUUUAUCCUGAAGGGUUGAAUACGCGAUUUUUAUGUUUGUUAUUGUUAUUAUUAUUUCUUCUCUUCAUUCUAUUUAAUGCCAAGCUGAUAUUAGUCUUAGUAGUUUCAUGUUGAACAUCUAAUCUAGCUUUGUCAACAUAAAGUAAAAUCGUCCUAUCAUUAAUUUGUUUGUCGAUUUGAUUCUUUAUAGGAAUAGAAAUUUUCUUUUACGUCGAACAAACUUGUGAGUCCCUCUUUAGUUAGAUAUGAAAUUUGGUUUUCACUUUAUCUUCUUUAGUGUGAGUAUGCAGUUAGUUUAAUUUUCUUAUCCAUAAGUAUUGUCUAAAUUAGUUUCUUGAUGAAUAUGGAUUGCAUCUAAAUGAUAUUUCUUAUAAAUAAUAUAUGUUUAUGAAAUGAAGAAUGUUUGUUUGAGCCACUUACUCUGUUGUCAUUUUCACUUACAAGAUUAUUUUAAGCAUGUGGCCAUUUAUUGGUCGUAAUUCAACUAUUCCAAUUGAACAUAGAAUGAAAUAUUAAUUUUGUUUAUUAUCGGCCUUAUAUUGUUGAAACUACAUUAUAGUGUUAGCUAAUUAAUACCAUUUAAUUAUCACAUGUGUUGAUUUGAGACUUUUAUAAAAUACUUUGUCUUCCACAAUGAUUAAAUUAAAAACGUGGUAGUAUGUAAAUCCUAUUUUUUUUUGUAUUGCACCAUAGCUAUUUCUUAUUAUUUUUUUUAUGUUUUCAUGUAAAUUUGUAUGGGUUCGUCACGAUCUCACUAUCUUGAUUUUGGAUAUCCAAAAAAGCUCAAAAUUUCUUUCUUCUAGUCGAGCCACAAGAUUGACGCCUACAUCCAAAAGCUAAAAAUUUUGAGUGGGGGGGGGGGGGAAUUGAGAGUCGAAGAAUUUAGGUACAAGGCCCACAUUUUAUUUCAUUUUAAUUAUGUGUUGUAUUUCAUUAUUUUUUAACCAAUCCCUUGUCUUUACCAAUAAUAGAUUAUUAAAAUUUAGGGAAAUUACAAAUUAAAUGGGCCUAAGGCCCAAAACAAAGUGGGUACGAAAAGCCGGUCCAAGUGGACAGAAAUUUGAUUUGGAUCCAAUUCUUUUUCUUUCUCUGUCACUCUCUCUCUUUAUUUUAACCAUGCAUUUAUUUGUUUGCAUAUCUAUCAAUAGUUCUAAGUUUAGAACAUUCAAAUCCUCGCUAAGACGCCAUUUUCUUGUAAUUAAAUUAAUUCAAUCAGGUCUAAACAAAUUAAAGAUAUAUAAAUUUGGAAAUUAAAUAACUCAUUUUGAUAGAAACUAGCAUUUCACUUUUUUGUAACAACUAUAAAUAUUUUGUGUUCUCAAAAAUUGGAAGUUAUACUUUUUAGCCAAAGAAGUAGGUUAGUGGUUAAUCGCGAGUCAGCGAAUAUUUUAGCUGUCAUAAUAACCUUCCUAAAAUAAAAAUAGUAAUCCCUGAAGCCCCGUUUAUGUUUUCAAUUGAUUUUCUGUUAUAAGUCUUUUAAAACAAGGUUUUCUUGAUUUUUAAAAAAAAUUAAGUGGCGACUCUAAAAAGUCGAAAACUAAAAUAAAUAAUUUAUGAAAUGUAAAACGAUAAUAUUUUUUGAUGUCACUUUACAUUAACUCAAUACACUAUUACAGUGACGCACUGAAGUGUCUUACCAUGUGUUAGACACUUUCUAGUACGUAAUCUUCUUACUAAAAGUUGUCCUAAGAUCCACUUAAGCAACAUAAAGAGAGUCCUCCCAUACAAAAUCCCUAAGCAUACCUAAAUUACCGUAGAGAAUACUUAUAAAAAUACACAUAUGCACUUACAUGACAUCGAACAUAUUAACAUAUAAACAAUAUGACAUUCUCAUAGGAGAGGCUAUGAAAAGACUUGCUUAAGUAAAUCAAGAAGAUAACGUCAAUGAUUGACCUCUAAAAGACUACCUAAAUAAACCUUAAUACUUCCUAAGUUUAAAUCAUGUCUACAUAAUCAACUUCUUCCCUAAAUAGAGUCAUACAUAAGACUCAUAUAGGUAAGAUAUGAAGUAACCAUUCCAAUGCCCCCUUCACACAUUAACUAGACAACCCUUAAGUACUCUAGAUAAGUACUUAUUUAAUUAACACACUUCCUUAGCUUAUGUCAUUAUAUUAAUUAUAUUAUUUACAAGGCAUUCAACACAAAAAGAACAUUCAAGUAGUGGUCUUGGACAAGACCUAGGAACUCCAGCUAAAACCUUCAAAGCCUAUUGUGCAAUGUUUACAUAGCAUCCCAUACCACCACCUAAACUUCAUAAAACCCCCAUAAUGCUAAUAGAUAUUCCAUAUGAUGAGAAUAGGCAAUAACGAACAUAGACCAUGAUAGCAAGAAAUGGAAUCCUAUGUUCUAACCUACUCCGAUGAGGCUUUUCUACUUGCCAAUGGUAGAACUUAGACACAACCCAUGUAGGCACAUGAUUAUGGAAUAUGAACGCAUGAUUUGUAAUCUAUUCACAUUCUUUAACUAGGACUACUUCCCUUACCAUACUCACUUGGUGCUAGCCUGAGUUCUAAUAGAUUAAUUUACACUUAAGGUUCAUAUAAAAAGUUCUAAUAUAAAGUUCAUAACCCAAUCACAUUUACAUUACAAAAAAAAGGUCAACUAGGGAUGCCUCCAAAUGGCGACCAGAAGCUUGUAAUUUCUUUACUAAGUAUUAAUAUGAUGCCAUUAAAGCCAAUUAACCUUAAGUCCAUCAUUCGUUUACUAUGAAGGAUACCAUUACAACUAACGACUUCAACAUUCAUAACCUUACCACUAAGUUUAAGGAUUCACAUAUGAAACUCUCUUAACUUCAUUUAAGGUCAAAUGUAUUUCAUAAAAGAAAGACAUAUACUUUGGAUCCUAUGUAAAGACUUCAUAUAUUGACUUUCAUGCAUACAUCAAGAAAAGGACAUAAGUCAACAAAGACAAGACACCACAUACUUCACUUUAACUCAUAUUAUAUGUCAUUCUAUAACACAUCGAAAUAAUUCUUAUUAUCUUGAAUUCAUCCUAUAUACUAUCAUAUCAACAUAAAUAUUACAAUCAUAGACUCAUAUAGUCAUGUAGGAUUAACAUACAUUAACCCGAAGCCUACACACAAAGCCAUAGUCAUAGUCUAACAUGAUAAUCUCUAUAACAUCAGUAGAACAUGUAUACUUUGACAUUACUUAACAUGUCGAUAGAUGUAAUCAUAUUACACUUAAUUAACUAUACAAUAAGUCACUUUACUUUGAGUAACUUGCCUAUAAGGCCAUGAUCAUCAUCUUACUUUAAAUAACACCGAUAAUGCCACAUCAAUGGCAAGUAAAGCACAUAACGAUUCAACGGUAAUUGGAACGUAUCAAUCACAUAAAAUUGAAGUCUAAUAAUAAAAAAAUAAAGGAAAUAGGUUAUCCUACCACCACAUCACCCUGAACACCUUAAUCAAAUGCCCAAUAACCUCAUUCAAUAUCACAAGGCCCUUACCCAAGUCCAUAACAACUAAAUAAACAUAAUUAUAAAAAUAUUCAUGUAACUAGGUCAACUUACUACGUAUUCAUCAAUCUUGUCCAACCUAGAUAUCAACUAACUAAAGUUAUUACAUCAAUCAAUAGCCUCCAUAAAACUACAUUGGAAUUCAUAAUUAUUACAUCAAUAUCAAGUAAUCCAUAACUUAGUCAAAAACUAGGUUCAUCCAAUUAAUGGGUUAAUAGGUAAUUUAGGUUAAAAUCAUCAAUACAAUAAAACUUAAAUCAUUAUUCAAAGUUUAAAAACCAUUAGUGCAAGAACCCAUGGAAUAGAUCAUAAAAUUGGACAAUUCAACUUGAAAUAUUUAGAAAACUUCUUGAGAGUUGGGAUCCUUGAUGAAGAGAGUUUCAAGGAUAAAAAUAAAUAACUUGACGAAGAAUAUCCAAUAAAUUUGUCCAUCCAAGCCCUUUCGUGAGUUUUGAAUCCAAUGGAGUUCUAGAGAAAAUUGUAACGAUUUGGAUUUUUGUUUGGAAGAAUGAAAUCUUCUAUAUUUUAAAGACUUAUAAACACAUUUAAAAUACCGAAAAGAUCACUAACUAACAACCAAUACUCUUAUAGUGGAGUGAAAUUAUACUUUCAACCCUCACUUAACAGUGAACUGCACGCAUAACCCAGCCCUAACAACGGUUGCCAAACAACGGCCCAUCCCUAGAACAAUGGACCAUCCUGUUGGUCAAUGGUUGGGAACUGAGGCUUGUCAUUGGCCUAUAUUAUCCCAUUUAUUAAUUCUAAACAACGAAACCCUACCAAAGAGGCAUAGACUGACCCACUGGGUACCGAUUGCCACCGUGUUUUGGGUUAUCUUUGGCAGCCUUGGGCACCAACUUGGGUCCUUCCUUAAGAACCAUUGGAUGGUCCUUGGGGAUGUUUUCCUGGACGUUUCCAACCCAAAGAUGAUUGUAUAUUAGUUUAGCACCUCUCACAUGAAUUUAACCAAAAAACAAACACAUAAAACUCGACGAAACAUGCCUAGAAACACAAGGUCAUUUCAUCGAAACAUUUUCGAACGUCAUAGACGAUCUUGGACGUUUGGCCUCCAAACAUCACGAAACAUGACACACUGCCUAUGUACAAUAUAAUAACUCAUUUAAGAACCCUAUAACCUCAUGAACAACACAUUAACACAUAGAACCACAUAUGAGGAACAUAGGUGAGUUAGUCCUCGAACGUCUUAGUCGUCCCUUGAUGUUUCACAUCCAAAUCACCUAAACUCUUACACACUUCCACAAUACUAUAUGAUAUAACAAUUAGGAUCAUAGACCAUCAUUACAACCAUGUUAGGAUCUAGUUCACCUAAGUCAUUUUCGAGGUAUUAUAAUCUCCCCCACUUGGACAACACUCGUCCUUCAAUGACUAUUGCCACUCUCCGAACAAUUCUAAUAAUAAAGAUUCAACUAGUAGCUAAAUUAAAUACAAUACAAUAUAUAAUCAAUAAUAAAACAUCAAUAUCAAAAAGUCAAAAGUUCACAACACAACAAGAAACUGGAAGGGAAUUCUAUAACUCAUUAUGCUACAAAACUCAUAUUCUUUGUUCCACAUAACAAAAAGUCAUUUUAUAUUCCAUAUUGUAUGCAUAUACAUCAGUUCUAAAGAAAUUUCAACAAUUUUAGACAAAAGAGUGAAUUAGUCGAAUUUCCAUGAAUUUUACAAUGAAUAAGUAGCAAAUUACAGUAAAGUUAGAUUUUUUUUGAAAAUGCAACUUUUUGGAAAUUAAUGAUAGAAACAUACUAAUAUGCAAAACAAAAUAAUAUAAACACAUCAUAUAACAUAGUAAUGGAUUUAUAAAACGCACAAUGCAAAAAGCUAAUGAAAUUCAAUUUCGACAAAACUGUUAAACAUCAUGCACAUUCAACAUGCUUCUAUAACUUUGUAUCUCAUGUACUAACCAUAAUUCCCCACUUAGAAGGAUCUCAUAUCACUAAAAGGAAAAAAGCAAGGACUUGCCCUCAUCAUCAUUAUCAUUCUCAUCCUGCUUUGAUCCUCUUGUCUAGAGUUCAUACAACCACCUUUUUGUUGGAGCAUCAUCAUUUAGAACACUAGGAGCAACUUUCUUACCCUAUUUUUCUCUAAAAUCAAUAUUAAGAAAAUAUCUAACUCUAUGUCCUUCCUUUCCACAACCAUAGCAACUCCCGCUACCCUUUAGACAAUCACCAUAAUGCCUUUUUCCAUAAAAGAGACAUGUAGGUUUGUCAUUUUGAGAACCACCUCCUUUGUCCAAUUUUACCUUAGAACUCCUAGGUUCUUCUUGAUAUUUAGCCCUCUUCUUAAACCUAGAUUGCUCUUAGUCACUAGAACCACUCGUUUUCAAGAUUGUAGACAUCCUCCUAAGUUUAGAAUCCUCAAUCAAUUGGGCAUACACCAUGAGUCUAGCUAAUGUCAUAUUAUCAUGUAACAUCACCAUACGAUAUUCCUCCCCCACUACAUGGUCACAAAAUAACACAUUUCAUCCCUUGGAUUAGACACAAGAUAUUGGGAUAUCUAAAUAACAUAGAGAACUUCAAAGAGUAUUCCUCAACAAUCAUAUUUCCUUGGUUGAGAUUGAUAAACUGCUGCACCUUAACUUCUCUCCUCUCAUGGGGAAAGUACUUAGGAAGAAAAGCUUCUUUAAAUUCUUCCCACUCAAUAGGACACGAAUCCUCCGGACUAUUAUCCUUGAGGAACUUUCUCAACUUUAGGAGAAUCUCCUCUUGCACGUGAUUCUCCUCAACUCUCCUAGCCGGUGUCCUCAUCGUAUUCAUCUUUGUAGAAACACAAGGGAAACCAUAAGAAAAGAGUAAUCAUAAAUUUUAAUCUAUGGCACGACAUAGGAGUAGAAAAGAAGGGUAACUCUAUCGUCCUAUAACCUCUUACCCAUAAAUGUGUCGCAUCUCACACCGACGGUCAAGGCUCUACUAGAUGUGACUUGCUGAGACUUUUUGAUUCCUAAUACUACUUUCAUAACCUAUGCUCUAAUACAAAGCUUGUCAAAUUCCAAAACCACACCCUAAAAGUUAGGGGCAAUCUCAGAUUUGCAAACGGUGUACUGGACCUCUCGAAGGUCUUGUCCAACCAGUUAUGUAUCAUUCAUCAUAGAUACAUAAUGAAAAGUAAUGCGGAAUCAAAAGUUUUCACUAAAAAAUAUGGUAGUCUUUUAAAACACUUUCACAUAAAGUCAUAGGAAAUAUUAAGUCUCAAUCUCAUCAAACCUAAGACACGGGAAUACUUUUGGGGCACGGCCCAUAUAAAAUACUAAUAUAGAAAUACUUAGUCUAUUACAAUUCUUCAAUAAGAAACGUAAUAAGAGACAUAUAUGCCCUCGAGUCAAAUGAGGACAUACUUCGACCUCUCUUGAACGAUACUAUUGCCCAUGUCUUCCUUCCCAAAUGCUCCUCACCUACCAUUAAUUGUAGAGGUAGAUAAAAGCACGGAUUAGUACAACCACAAGUACUAAAUAUGGCAUAAUGCACGAAAAUCAUGAAAAUGGACAUUUAUUAGAAAUAUGAAUCUUUUUAUUUAAAAAAAUAUAUUAUAAUUGCAAGAACAAUAUUUAACAACAUAGAAACACAUAAGAUAAUACUUAGACCAAUUAUCGUAUUUAAGAAGUCACUUUACAAUAACUCAAUUAAAUAUUAUGGUGAAGUCCCUUCACUUUACAAUGAAGUAUCUAACCAUGCAUUUAGACACUUUCUAGCAAGUAAUCUUGUCACUAAAAUCUAUCCUAACACCCACUUAAGCAACACAAAGAGAGACCGUGCAUACAACCUCCCUUAACAUAUGCUAAGGACCCUUAAGAAUACUUAUAAUAAGACACAUACACACUUACAACACAUCGAACAUAUCAACAUAUAAAUAAUAUGUAAUUCUCAUACCAAAGGCUAUAAAAAGACAUACAUAAGUAAAUUAAGAAGAAAAUGUCCAUGAUUGACCUCUUCAAGACUACCUAAAUAAUUCUUAAGACUUCCUAAAUUUAGAUCAUGUGGACAUGCUAAACAUAUUCCCUAACAAGGUUCAAUGUUAAGACUCUACUAGGUAAGAUACGAAGUGACCAUUCAAGUGCCCCCUUCACACCUUAACUAGAAUUCUUUUAACAAAUCUAAAUAAGUACUUAUUCAAUCGACAUACUUUAUUAACUUACAUCAUUGCAUUCAUUAGUUCAUUAGAAGACAUUCAACACAUAAAGGACAUUCAAGUAAUGGUGUUUGACAAGACCUGGAUACUCCAAUGAACACAUUCAAAUCCUAUUUGCAAUGUCUAGAUAACGUCCCAUAACCCCACUUAAACUUCCAAAAACUUCUCUAAUGGUAAUAGAUAUUACAUAUAAUGAGAAUAGGUGAUAAGCGACAUAGAGUAUGAUAGAAAGAUAUGGAAUCGAAUGUUUUAACCUACUCCGAUAUGGGUGUUCUACUUGCAAAUGGUAGAUAUUAGACACAUCCCAUGUAGGCACAUGAUUAAGGAGUAUGAAGGGCAUGCUUUAUAAUAAAGUCUCAUUAUUUAACUAAAACUACUUCCCUUACAAUACUCACUCGGUGCUAACCUUCAUUCUCAUUGAGUUAUUUACACUUAAGGUUCAUAUAAAAGGGUUCCAUAUAAUGUUCAUAACUCAGCCACAUUUACCCUACAAAAGAAAGGUUCAGUAGGGCCCCAAUAGUGACAGGAAGCUUAUUAUUACUUUACUAAGUAUCAAUAUGAUACCAUUAAAUCCUAUUAACCAUAAUUCCAUCAUUCAUUUACUAUGAAGGAUACCAUUAUGGCUAACAACUUCAAUAUUCAUAACUGUACUUCUAAGUUUAAGGAUUCACAUACGAGACCCUCUUUACUUCAUUUAACGUCACAAGUCAUUCAUACAAGCAAGACAUAGAGAAUUUAUCAUACUAAGUAAAGACUUCACAUAUUAUUUUUCAUACAUACAUCAAGCAAAGGACACAAGUCAAGCAAAUAGCCAAGUAGACUUCACAUAUCAUUCUAGAAGCACAUAGAAAUAACCCUUAUAAUCAUCAAGACAUUCUAUUUACUAUAUUAUCAACAAAUUAUGACCAUAAUAGAAUCAUAUAGCCAAGUAGGAUUAAUAUAUAUCAACCCUAAGACAACACAAAAGACAUAGUCAUAGUCUAACAUCAUCAUCUACAUAACAUAAAUAGAACACAUAUACUUUCACCUUACUUAAAAUGUACAUAUAUAUCAUCAUACUUCAUAUAAUUAAAUAUAAAAUUAUUCAUAUUACUUUAACUAGUUUGUCAACUAGGUCAUGGCCAUCAUAUUACUUAAAAAAACGCCGACAAGGCCACAUUUAUUGCAAGUAAAACACAUAACACCGUCACCAUAGGUGGACCAUACCAAUAACAAUAAAAUUGAAUUAUAAUAAUCAUAAAAAUAAAUUGAAUAUGGAAUCUAAUCACCACUUCAUCAUCAAACCUCAAUCCAAUGCCAAAUAACCCUCAUUGAUAUCACAAGGUCCUUAUCGACGGACAUAACCAUAAAUUCAACAUAAUUAUGACAAUAUUCAUUAUCUAGGUAAAAUUACUACAUAUUUAUCAAUAUAGUGCAACCUAGAUACUAAUUUACUACAAUUAUUACAUCAAUAAAGAAGCUACAUAAAACUACAUACUAAUUCAUCAUCAUUAGAUCAAUAUCAAGUAACCCAUAAAUUGGUAAAAAACUAGGGUUCAUCAAAUUAAUGGGUUCCUAUGUAAUUUAGGAUAAAAUAAUCAAUAAAAUAAUAAUUAAAUCAUUAUUUAAUAUUUAAAAACCAUUAAUGGAAGAACCCAUUGAACAUAACAUUAAACUUGACAAGUCAACAUGAAAGUUUUAGAAACCUUCUUGAGAGUUGGGAUCCUUGAUGAAGAUAGUUUCGAAUUCAAAAAUCCAUAACUUGAUGAAUUUAAUUAUUAAAUUUUAGGAGGACUCUCCACUCAAUUCGUUAAUCCAAGCGCUUCUUUGAGUUUUGACUCCAAUGGAGUUCUGAGAGAAUUCUAUGGGAUUUGUGUUUUGAUUUUGAAGAAUAUAAUCUUCUAAGUUUUAAAGACUUAUAAACACUUUUAAAUUCAAAAAGAUCCAUAAUGAACCUCGUAUACUCUUAUUUGUAUGUGGAAUGAAAUUACACUUUCACCCUUCACUUAAAACUGAAUUGUACGUAGUUACCAGCCCCAAUGACGGUUGCCAAAGGACGGUCCAUACCUGUACUAAAGGACCAUCCUUUUUGUCUCUGGUUGGGGACUUAGACAAAUCUUUGGCCUCUCCUCUGCCCAACAAAUCCUAAACCACGUAGAGGGCACCUUUACACAUCAACUUGGGUCCUUUCUCAGGACCCUUGCAUUGUACUAGCGGAUGUUUUCCCAGACAUUUAAAACCCAAACAUGAUCGUAUAUCGGGGGUAAAAGCUGAUCCGAGGAAGACAUAAGUGGUCAAGAAUUGUCCAAGACCAAUGAAUCCUAUUGACAUACGAAGUUUUCUAGGGUUUGUCGGCUACUAUAGGAGGUUUUUUGAGGGAUUUUUAUCCAUCCCAUCAUAAUGAAAGGAGUUGAUGACCCAAUAGAAAUGCAUUUUCAAAUGUUCGAAACCAUGUGAAGAGAUAUUCCAAUUAUUUAAAGAUAAAGUCAAAUAUGAUCUUCCCGGUAUUGAAUUUACAACAGGGUAUAGAUGGAUUUGGGGUUUAUUGUGAUAACUCCCGAGUGGGUCUAUGGUGUAUGCUUAUGCAAUAUGGAAAAGUAAAAGUGUAUGACUCUAGGAAACUCAAGACUCAUGAAAAUAAUUAUCCAAGUCAUAACCUUGAACAUGCGGCCGUAUUUUUUGGAUUAAAAUAUGGAGACGUUAUCUCUAUGGUUACAUAUUAAUGUAUUAAUCAAUCACAAAAAUUUACGAUAUGUGUUUACCCAAAAUAUUUGAAACUACGUCGAAUAAGAUGGUUAAAACUUUUAAAGGGCUAUUACAUGAGUGAACUUUACCAUCCCAGAAAAAAUAAUGUGGUAGUGAAUUCCUUGAGUAGACUGUCCAUGUGUAGUGUGACUCACAUAGUUGAUGCUAUGAAAGAAAUAGUAAAAGAGGUUCAUAGGUUGGCUCAUUUGGGUGUCCGACCAGAAGAAUCUCAAAACGUUUGGUUUCAUGGUUCUCCACAACUAUUCGUUGUCUUUAUUUGUUAGGGUGAAAUGCAAGAAACAUCUUCAUCCUCUAUUAAUGAAGUUAAAGGAAACGGUCCAUAGUAAAUCUAAUGAGUCCUUCUCUCAAGGAGAAGAUGCGGUGCUUACGCACCAAGGAAAAUUAUGUCUAAGGGAUGUGGAUGGAUUGAGGGAAUUGAUAAUGGAUGAGGCUUAUGGCUCCUGAUAUUCCAUUCACAUGGGAGACACAAAGAUGUACUAUGACUUACGAAAAAUAUUGGUGGCACGGUACGAAAAGGAACUUAGUGGAUUUUUUUUCCAAGUGUCCGAAAUGACGACAAGUAAAAGAGGAACCCCAAGGACGGGUGUCUUAACUCAAAAUAUAGAUAUUAAAACAUGGAAGUGGGAGGAUAUUAACACAGACUACAUAGUUGGGUUUCCUCGUACUCGAAGGCAACACGAUUCGAUAUGGGUCAUUGUGAAUGGAUUGACCAAGUCGACAAACUUUAUUCCCAUCAAAGUCACUUAUUUGGUGGAAGAUUAUGACAAAGUGUACAUUAAAUAAAUAGUGAAGCUACAUAUAUCCCCUAUAUCUAUUAUUUCUGAUAGAGCCACUCAAUUUACCUCCCAUUUUUCGAAGGCUUUUUUAAAGUGGAAUUGAUACAAAAGGGAAGCUUAGUACCGCCUUUCAUCCCAAGACGGAUGGUCAAGUGGAACACACUAUUCAAACCCUAGAAUAUAUGGUGAGGUCAUACGUUAUCAACUUUAAAUGAAAUUGGAAUGACCACCUACCUUUGAUAGAGUUCUCCUACAAAAAUACCUACCAUUUGACUAUCUCUAUGGCACCUUUCGGGCACUUUAUGGGAGGAGGUGUAGAUCCCCGAUUUGUGGUAUGAUGUAGGUGAGUUUGCUCUUAUUUGUCCGUAUUCGGUAUAUGAAUCCCUCGAGAAGGAUUGGGUUAUAUAAGAUAGAAUAAAAAUGUCUCAAUGUCAAAAUAAAUCUUAUGCCGACAAUAGAAAGAGGACCUUGAAUUCAAAGUACGAAGUUGGGUCUACUAAAAAAUUUCACCCAUGAACGGGGUGAUGAGGUUUGGAAAGAAGGAGAAGUUUAGUCCUUGUUAUGUGGGCCUAUAUGAAGUUUUGAAUCAACAUAGGAGUUUUUCCUAUGAAUUCAAGUUUAAAAAUAAGUUGUCCAUGAUUCAUUUAGUUUUCCACGUUUUUAUGCUUCAGAAGUGUACGUAUCAUCUGAUUUCCAUUCUUCCUCUAGAAGGUUUAGGGUGUAAAAGAGGACCUUUAUACGAAGAAGUCCCGGUUGAAAUCUUAGACUGCCAAGUUAAGAAAUUGUGGAAUAAGGAGGUUCUCUACGUAAAAGCUAUAUGGACGAACCACCUUAUUGAGGGAGCUUGUCACAUCCGGGUUUAUCCCCUAAACCUAACCGUCAUCGUCGUCCUUUUGAAGGACUAAGACUAGCCAAUUUGUUUCAUGUCAUUACACUAAUAGGUUGAAAAAUGAGGAAAAAUUUAGAAAAUUCAUUAUCACUACUUGGAGGCUUACAUAGACCUUUAUGUAUACAAAUAUAUAUAUAUAUAUAUAUAUAUAUACACACAUAUAUAUAUAUGUAUAUGUAUAUAUAUAUAUAUAUACAUAUAUAUAUAUAUAUAUGUAUAUAUAUAUAUGUGUGUGUGUAUAUACAUAUAUGUGUGUAUAUAUAUAUAUGUAUAUAUAUAUAUAUAGAUAAAUAGAUAGAUAGAUCUAUCUAUCUAUAUAGAUAGAUAUAUCUAGUUCACUCGGUUCUAAGCUAGAGUCCAUAUUUAAAUUUCUUUAAGUCUUUUAUUAUCAAUCAUAACAUGAUUUAGGCUAUAGGGUCUACCCGUUGUGUAGUCCUUAUCAUAAAUAGCUCAAUAAAAAUUGUAUGAGUAUAAGUCCUUUCACGACAUUUCAUAUAAGUGAGGUUAACACUUUAACAUUUAAUAACAUAUUAUGGCUCACUGAUAGUAUUCAGCAUCUUUAUAAGACGUACACCUCAAUCAAUCUCACAACAUAGUCAACACAUUUCAAUGAAACAUCAUAACAUUCAAUAAUCCUAGUCUAAGGCAUAUUCAAUGUAAUAUCAUGGCUUAGCAACAAUAAAUCACAAUUGGAAGUAAAGAUAUAAAUUCUAAUACUUACCAUGUCUUUCUCAUUGUCUAUCAACGAGGUCUUACCAUAAACCCAUAGCUCAACAAAACUUUUGGAGUAACAUCAUCACACAAUGAUAACAAACAAGAUAACAAGGAAAAUUGCAUCUCUAUAACACACUUCAUUGUUAGAUCCAACUUGAGAAAAGGUACAUGGGCUACUUUCACAUUAUAAUUCACAACUCUAAAUCACAUCUCAAGAACUAGCAUGAUAGGCCUAAAACUCAUUUUAAUUUAAUCAAAAUAACACCAUAGAAUAGUAAUCUAACAAAAAACUAACUCAAUUGAAUGAUCACAAUACAAUGUAGGUCAAGAUCAAUACCUGGGGUUGUGGAUAGAGAAUCAUACUCAUCAAUUUGGACCAAACCAGCAAAAAUUACGAUAAACAAGUUGAAUUACAUAUUAAUAUACUCAAUAUAACACUAACAGUCCAUUAACAACUCAAUCCAUAACUCCAAUUUCGUAACUGAAUUAAACCCUUAUGAAAACUCAACUUUUUGAAAUCUAUUUUGAAGGAAACCUUUGAGGAUAGGAUGUCAAAGGUGAAUAGAACCCAUACAUUAAUGUUUAUCAAAAAUUUGAUGACGAAUCUACCAUUUUCCAGCCCUCAAUUCAUCUUCCAAGCUAAGCUUCUACGGAGUCUUCCAAAUAGAGAGAGAAAGAAGAGAGAAGGAAUAUAGUUUAUUUGAGAGUUGUGUUUUGAUUAAUGAUGGUUGAAAGUAUUUAUAGUAGGAGUUAAUAAAUUUAAUUAGUCUCUCUUUAAUCCCUGACUAACCCCUAAACCACUUAAUUAAUUAAAUGAACUUAAUUUAAAGCGUGCAGGAAUUCGCAAACCACAUCGACAAGACCUCGAUCGAAGGACCAUCUGUCCACCUAUGAUCCAUGUUGCAAAUCCGUAUGUUCGCUCAGGGACUUUUGCAGACAAGGCUUUUCUCCAAUUUUGUAUGUGUGGGACGACAGUGGCAUCGACGCCUCAACGAUCCACAAAUGGAGUGUAUCCUACACCGGCGCACUCCGUCGAUGAUUCUAGACAAUCUGCAAGUGAAGGGACCUUCUCCACAAGCCUAAGUGUGGGACGACGGUGGCAUUGUUAGACCAUCGAUCCACAGAAGGGCCAUCAUCUAUCCCGUCAAUGCACACUGCCAGGCCCUACUGCAUCAAACUGCAGGGGUCCUCCUAAAGGUCCCUUGGUCUCCUUGGAGAGUCGUACCCGAAAGUUUUAACCAUUAAACAACUCAAAUACCCAUAAGUUACCUUUCCACCAACAUUCAGAUAAAUCAGACUCAUAAAAAUUAGUCAAGCAGGCUAAGGCACACUAUCAUCCCUUUGAACCAACUUCCCAGACAUUUUUGAAGUUUUGCUUCUUAAAUCUCCUAAAUGACCUAUAUCCUUUAAAAAUAGAAUUAGAAACAUUUUUUAGACGUUAUAACUCCUAUGUUAGGAUUUACCAUGAGUCUUGGAUUUUUUAUCAAAGUGCUACAUUAUCCCCAUUAGGAACAUUCGUCCCCAAAUGACACAAAAAUUCUAUUGAAGGAAAGAAUAGACCCAAGACUAGCUGCCCAACAAAUCAACAAUAUCAAAUCAACAUAGAACAUGUCUUCUAAACUAGGAAAAUAUCAAAACACAUAUUACCACAAAUAAGGCUCAAAACACUUUAUCAUGAGACAUUUCCUUCUUACAACACUUAUGAGCUCAAAACACAAUACAUGAGUUGAUUAGCACAAAGUUUAAUUUAACAACAUGCUACUUCUCUUUUCAUAAAGACUCACCAUAUAGAUGCACACCAUAACUCAAGACAAGCGAAACACAAGAUUUCAAGUUUUUUAAUUUAAGAGCAAUGCUACAUUGAUUUCACCAUAAGUUCCUAAUCAUGUGUGGAACGACCUCCAAAAUCUAGAUGUCAAUUAAAUACCCCGAUCAGAUAUGAUGGAUAACAGAAUGCCAUGGCAGCACACAAUCUCAUCUUUGAAAAUUCUUGCAUAAUUCUCCGCCGAAUACAAAGAUUUGACAGGAAUAAAGCGAGCGGACUUAGUCAAUUGAUCUACAACCAGACAAAUGGAAUCAUAUGACUUUUGGGUCCGAGGUAAAUCUACUACAAAGUCCAUACUGAUAUCUUCCCACUUCAAAGUAGGAAUUUGGGUCUCUUGUAGUAAGCCACCCGGCUUUAGGUUUUUGACCUUGUUGGAAAUUUUGACUCUUAGCGAUAAACUCAGCUAUGUCCCUUUUUUGACCUACUCACCAAUAUAUCUCCCUUAGGUCAUGGUACAUUUUUGUCGACCCAGGAUGAAUUGAGUAGCGGGACCCAUUUGAUUAUUGUAGAAUUCAAUCGCUCAACCCAUCUACAUCGGGAACAUAUAAUCUCCCUUGGUACCUUAACACAGCAUCCCACCCUGAGGAUAAUGAUUCAUUGAACUUGUCAAGAACCGAUUCUUUCAACUCCAUUAAGCCUAAAUCAAGAUGUUGUUUGGACUUCACCUCAACCACUAAAGAUGACUCGGAGUUAUGAUUAACUAUGGAACCCCCAUCCGGAGAACUCUCUAACCUUACACCUAACAUAGCCAACCUAUGUACAUCCCUUUCUAAGUCCUUUUUGGCUUCGUCAAGAUUGAAUACACUACCUAUCGUCAUUUGACUUAGGGCAUCCGCGACUACAUUAGCCUUGUCAGGGUGAUAAAGGACAAUCGUAUCAUAAUCUUUCAAUUACUCAAGCCUCCUUCUUUGUAAGAGAUUCAACUCCUUUUAGUUAAACACAUAUUUGAGACUCUUAUGAUCGGUAAAAACAUAACAUGAACCCCAUACAAGUAAUGCGUCAAAAUUUCAAAGCAAAAAUCACGGCCGCUAAUUGAAGGUAUGAGUGGGGUAGUUCCUCUACUGCACCAUUAGUUUCUUAGAGACAUAAGGUAUCACCUUCCUGUGUUGCAUAAGCACAUACCCAAAACCCACUCGGGAUGUGUCACAAUACACAAACAAAACCCUUUGUACCCUUCAGUAAUAUCUAAACCACAGUAGAAGUACGCCUAUGUUUCGAAAAUUGUCCUCCGACCACACUAACUUUUUACUCUUUUGGGUAAGAGUAGUCAAAGGAGACGCAAUGGACACGAACACAUCCACGAAUUGCCAAUAGUAAUCUGCUACACCACGAAACUCCUAAUAUUUGUCAGAGUCAAUGGUCUAGGCAAAUUUUUUACCUCUUCUGUUUUCCUUGGGUCUACCUAAUCCCCACUAUAGAUAAUGUGUCAUACAAAAGUCAUUGACCUGAACGAAAACUCACACGUACUACAUUUAGCAUACAAUUGAUGUUCUUUAAGGGUUUGCAUCACUACCCUCAAAUCACCCAUGUGAUCAUCCUCAUUCUUUGAAUAUAAAAAAAUAUCAUCAAUAAACACAAUGAAGAAUGAUCCUUCGAUCGGAGACCAUAGAAGGAUCAUAUUUGGAAAACUUAUUGAAUUCAAAAGAGUAAUCAUGGAAACUCUUCCCUCCUUGACAAUGAUUGAUGAACUCUGUCACUUUCUACUCCCUCAUCUCUCUAGGGAAGAACUGAUCUACAAAAGUAGUCUUAAAGAUCUCCCAAGUCAUCGGACCACCCCGGAAUGACCUAUUGCCCCUCCAUUGAACAUACCAUGUUUGAGCCAUAUCCUUGAGUUGAUAUGAAGCCAAAUCGUCCUUCUCACUUGAAGAGACCCCAUAGCAUAUAGCAUCUUGUAGACCUCAUCGAGGAAUUUUAUGGGGUCUUCAUCAACCUUAUAACCAUAUACAAUAGGAGGGUUUAUUCGAGUGAAGUCGCUUCGACGGGAAACCAUAGUUGUGACUUGUUGUUGAGAACAAGGAGAAGCAUCCCCAUUGGCUUAAGCCAUCAUAGGUUGGGCUUAAACCGUGGCGGCUUGUGCUUGCUAAGUAAAGGCUUGAGCCAUUUGAUAAAUAACAACCCUCAUCUCCUCCUCUUUCAUAGAUGAAGGGUCAAUCAGAUCUUGAUCAACAUUAGCAUUUUCAUCAAGUGGAGGGAUUUGGUCAUCAUGGGGAUGAACUCCCGCAUUAGCAACAUUCUCUUCAAAUAUUUGAACCGCAUUCCUUCGAGUGUUCAUACUUCCUAUAAGCACAACGAUAGGAUUUAGAUGCAAAAGCACACCAUAAGUAUACUCUAUUUGCACGACAUAACAUUUCCAGGAAAGAGAGUGAUUCCUAAGCAUCAUGUAGGUUCCUACUUAUAAGUGUGGCGCGCCUUACAAUUAUAAAUACAAACCUAUAUAGUUGUUGUAUAAAGAGAGAGACAUAACUCAAUGAUUUUCAACGUCAUGGUCUACUACCAUGUUUAUCACAUCCGGGUUUACCCCCUAGACUAACAGGCAUCCUCGACAUCUUGAAGUACUAAGACUAGCCUCUUAGGUUAAUGUCAUUACAAUUAUAGAUUUAAAAAUGCAGAAACAGUCAAAACAUUCAUUAUCACUACUCGGAGGUUUACAUAGACCUCUACAUACACAUUGUGUGUGUGUGUGUGUAUAUAUAUAUAUAUAUAUAUAUAUAUAUAUAUAUAUAUUCAUAUCAAGUAUACAUAUAAAUUUUAUAUAGGAAGGUUACAUAUCCUUUCACUUUUAGUGAACAUACAUAUAAAAGAAUAUUGAAAAUUUUCUCAAUGACUGCCUCAUCUCAUACCAUCUAAAUAGAUAUCACAAUAGGGGCAUAGCCCUUACAAUAAUUCAACAAGACCAUGUAUAGGUCAUACGAAAGUAUAAUAUUCAAAUAAGAAGGAAAGAAAUGAUACAGUCAAUAAGAUCAUAACAAAAUCCAAAGAUAGAAGAUGGCAUUACCGUCGAAUGUUGAAGACCUACCAAACUUGGAUAAAAGGAAUAGUAUAAGCAUUCAAUAAUAUAGCCUCCCAAAGCUUCUCAACAAGCAAAACUUAAAAUAAUUGGGAAAAAGGGAAGAAAAUGGUGUUAGUACUUCACAUGUACUAAGUAUGAGAUUUGAUGCACAUACACAAGCAAAACAUGCAAAAAGGACUUUUUAACAAAAUAUGCCGAGUUAUCCUUUUAGGGAACUAAUGCAAAGUCAAGUAUGUCAUAUCAACCAACCAAACAUGCUUACUAUCUCAACAAGUAAUACUUAUCCCAACAUACUUAAAGUCAUGAUUUACUAGAACCCUAACAUCAAGGAAUACUAUUACUAGAAUGAUUAAGAGUCAAACAUAUCAUAAUAAGCAAGAUAACAACUCACAAGUCCUUAUACAGUCAAUAAGUGCAAUGACCAAGCAAUGCCCCAUAACCUGAUUCAAUAAAGUAUACUCCACAUGAAAACAUGAGAAAUGUACGAAUUUACAUAUCAAGGAAUUUAGGCUUGCAUUUAAUCGUAUAUUAUCAUUAUAAUCAUGGCAUUUAGGCUUGCAUUUCAUCGUAUAUUAUCAUUAUAAUUCAAGGCAUAUUCGUUAAUUAACUAUUAAACAUGUAGUAUCAAUAGUGGUACAUAUACAUCAUAUAUACAUCAAAUAUUAUCAUAACAUAAACAUAUAAAAACCUCCUCCUAAGACUCCCCUUAGGCUAACUACUUCAAUGUAAGGGUAGAGCCCCAUACCCCAACCUAGACUAAACUAGACAUCGUAGGUUAUCCAAGUUAGGGUUCAAAUCCUCUUAUUUAUAUUACAUUCUUGAAACAUCUUUCCCUAGCCGACAUAGAUCACAUGAACUAGUGUGGAAUCCGAUGUCAUAAAACCCUACACUGACAGAAGGCGGACUACUUGCCAAAGUAGUACCAAAAGAUGAAACAUAGAAACUACGUAGAUCUACUAGCUAGUAUUCCUAUGGGGGAAACAUAGCUCAACAACUAGGAGAUUUAGUUGGGAACCUCUUUCUGCUCAUGCAUUACAGUCUCUUAUCUCAAGAGUAAUGUAGUGUUCCUACCUUCCCUAUGUGGGAAAGGACACUACUCUAUCUAGUUCACUCAAUGCUAAGAUAGAGUCACUUUUUGAAAUGUCUUUAAGUCUUUUAUUAUCAAUCAUAACUUAAUUUAGGCCAUAGAGUCAACCCCUUGUAUAAUCAUCAUCAUCAAUAACUCCAUAAGAAUUGUUUGAGUAUAAUUCCUUUUAUUACAAUUCAUAUAAGUGAGGUUAAAACAUUAGCAUUUCAUAACAUAUUAAGGCUAAUUCAUAGUUUUCACCAUCCUUAUAGCACAUACACCUUAAUAAACCUCACAACAUAGUCAAGAAAUGUCAAUUAAACAUCAUUAAACCCUAUAAUCCUAGUAUAAGGCAUAUUCCAAUGUAAUAUCAUGGGUUAACAAUAUUUAAUCACAUCGGAAGUAAAGAUAGAGAUUCUAAGACUUACCAAGUCUUUCUCAUAGUUUAUCAUCAAGGUUUACCAUAAAUCCAUAACUGAACCCAACUUGGGGAGUAAGAUGAUCACACAAUGAUAACCAAUAAGAUCAACGCCAAUUGCAUCUCUAUCAAAAAAUUCAUCUUUAGAUCAAAACUUUAGUCAAGGUAUAUGGGCUAAUUUCACAUUGUAAUUCACUACCCUAAAUAUCACAUCUCAAGACAUGAUAGGCCUAUAACUCAUUUUAAUUCAAUCGUAAUAACACCAUAGAAUAGUAAUCUAUUAAACAACCAACACAAUUGAAUGAUCACAAUACAAUAUAGGUCAGGAUCACUACCCAGGGUUAGGGAUGGAGAAUCAUACUCUUCAAUUUUUACCAUCAACAAUCACCAUAAAAAAGCUGAAUUACACGCUAAUCUACUCAAUAUAACCCAAAAAAUUCAUUAACGACUUAAUCCAUAAAUUCAAUUUUCUAAUUGAAUGAAACCCAUAUGAAAACUCAUCUUUUUUAAAUCUAUUUUAAAGGAACCCUUUGAGGAAAGGAUCUCAAAGAAGAAUAGAACCCUUAAAUUAAUAUUUAUAAACAAUUUUAUGAAGAAUCCACCCUUAUUCGGCCCCAAUUCACCUUCCAAGCUAAGCUUCUAAUGGCGUUUUGCAAUUAGAGAGAGAAAGAAGAGAGAAAGAAGAGGGUUCAUUUGAGAGUUAUGUUUUGAUUAAUGAGGGUGCAGGGUAUUUAUAGUAGGACAUAAUAAUCAUAAUUAGUCUAUAUUUUGUCCCCAACUAACCCCUAAACCACUUAAUUAAUUACUUGAACUUAAUUUUAACGUGCUGGAAUUUGCAGACCCCAUCGAUGAGACCUCGAUCGACAGACCUUUGGUCCAUCGAUGGUCCCUGCUACAAAUCCGUAAGUUUGUUCAUUCACUGGUUCAUACGAGGCUUUUCUCCAAUUUUCUAAUUGUGGGAUGACGGUGGCAUCGACGCCCUAUCGAUCCAUAGAUGGAUUAUAUCCAGCACCUCCUCACUCCGUCGAUGAUUCCAGAAACCGUAAAGGGGAAGGGACCUUCUCUACUAGCCUAUGUGUGGGAAGACAGUGGCAUCGAUUCCCCUUCGAUGCCAGAAACCGUGAAGGGGAAGGGACCUUCUCUACCAGCCUAAGUGUGGGAAGACGGUGGCAUCGAUUCCCCUUCGAUCCACACAUGGGGCUGUGAUAUGUCCCAUCGAUGCUCAUUGCCUGGCAAUGCUUUAUCAAACUACACGGGUCCUCCUCAAGGGCCCUUUAUUGGUCCUUGGGGAGUUGUACCCAUACGUUUUAACAAUGGAACAACUCAAACAACCAUUAGUUACCUUUACACAAACGUUCUCACAAUUCCGACUCCUAAAACAUAGUUAAGUAGGCUAAGGCACAUUAUCAUUCGUUUGAACUUACUUCCUGGACGUUUUGGACGUUUUGUUUCUUAAGUAUCCUAAAUGACCUAUAUCCAUUAAAAAUAGACUUAGAGACAGUUUGUAGACUUUAUGAACCUAUGUUAGGUUUAACAAUGAUUCUUGGAUUUUUUUGAAGGUGUUACAGAGCUACAUGGAAGGUCGUGGCCGACAUGAAGUCCCACUAUCUUCACCCUUGUUUGUAUAAUUCCUAUUCAAGGCUAAGAUUAGUAAUUCCUUAUAUGAUUUGUAUGUAUAUUAUUGAACUUAACAUGUUUUCUUCUAAUACGUGCAUAUUGUACUACAAAUUAAUGCCCAAUGUUAUGUUUUCUUGAAACAUGUUUCUUAUGAUUAGCUUUCACUUAAGUAUGUAUUGUGCUAUAUUUAUUCAUAAAAUUGUAUUAAGCAUUCUUGAUGUUGUUGUGAUUAGAAAUCAUCAUGUAAAACUGUUGAUGUUCCAAUCAAAGAUCUCAUAUUGAAGUGGAUAAGGUAGUGCCUCCUUAUAUGAUAUGAAAAAGUUGAGCUUGAGUAUAUGGUUUGUUAUGAGUUAACUUACUAUCUAUUGUUUCUAUGAUUAUAAAUUGAUUGGAGACAAUGAUUCCUCUAAUGAUCUUUGACUCAUUUUAUUAUAUUGUUGUUGGUUGGGCUGCUAGUCUUGAGUCUCUUCUUCACUUAUAAGUGUCUAGAGUCUCAUUCUGGGACAGAUGUUCCUAAGGGGGGGAGUAUUGACAAACCCCGAAAAUUCAAUGACAUAUAAUAGAAACAUAUAUGUUUAAUAAUUAUGGUUUAAGACCUAAAUAAGUGUAAAUAACCUAUUUGAGAAAUAUUGGGGCCAUAACAUUAAAGAAAUGCCUUAAUAUCCGGCUCCAACACUUCGAAAGUCUAAAACGUGUUGUAGAGCAUAAGAAAGUGUCAAAAGGUUUACACACUAUUUUAAGGUCUAUUUUAACCAAUAUAAUUCAUUCAAUAGGUUUAGAAAUCAGAACAUCGAAGAACGUCCAUGACAUCUGGAAACUAGACAAAUAAGGUCCUAGUGUGCCUUAGUCUAUUUGACUAAAUUGUGUGAGUCGGAAAAUUAUGAAAAUUAGUGGAAGAGUAUCUAACAUGAAUUAUAGUUAGUUCAUGGUAAAAAAAUUUGGGUACGACUCCCUAAGGACCAACCAAGGUCCCUUGCAUUUUUGCAAGAAACUGCCAAAAGGUAGUGUGCACAAAUGAUUGCCAAUCAACGGAUUAUGUGUCAAUUGACGGGGGUGGAUUGACACGAUUGAUGAACACUCAAAGAAUAUUCAUGGUAGGAUUUUUUAAACACUCUUUGACUUAAAUGACGGACCAAUAGGACGGUUAGUCCCUUUGCUAUCGUUUGAAAAAAAGACUUUUUGUCGUGGUCUCGUUUGUGAACACCGUCUUUUGUUGCUCACUUAAAUUUAGUGAAAUUAAUUAAUUAGGUGGUUAUUUAAUUAGUUAUAGGUUAAAGGAGGUCAAUUUAAGUUAGUUAAUGACCUAUAUAAAGACCCUAAGCUAAUUAAACUAACCUAAGACAUUAUAAUUCCCAAAGCCAAAACUCUCUUCCUUGUCUCUUCUUUCUCUCUACCAGGUUGAUGAACUCCAUACAAUAAAAGGUCAAGGUGGGUUUUAGGGUUGAAAGCACAAAGGUUUCUCCAUUAAUCUUCAUCAAACACUACUAUAUGUUAUUCCUUUCACCUUUGAGACGAAAUAGUGCUGAUGAUGUGAUGAACAUGAAUGUGUGGCUACGGUCGAGUCCAAGUGAAGUCGCAUAGACAAUAUGUUAACUUUUUGCAUCUCGUCGUGAUUAGUAAAUUUUCAUAUUCAAUUUUUUGUGAUGAACAUUGCAUACUAGUGAAAAUGUGGAGUAU